rnacentral:snoRNA from 1 species
UUGCGAAUAUUCUCGCCUGUUUGACCAGUCCAUGGUCAAAUCAGGGCUAGUAGUUCGCUAUAGUGAUACCAACACGAGAGCAAACAGACCUGACAUCUGUACCUCGUCUGUUCUCAACCUGCACCUUUUGGUUACAUGA